rnacentral:snRNA from 1 species
AUGCCACCUGGCAGGGGAGAUACCAUGAUCACGAAGGUGGUUUCCCCAGGGCGAGGCUUAUCCAUUGCACUCAGGAUGUGCUGGCCCUGCGAUUUCCCAAAUGUAAUCGACUGCAUAAUUUGUGGUAGUGGGGGACUGCGUUCGCGCUUUCCCCUG